rnacentral:rRNA from 1 species
GACGAACGCUGGCGGCGUGCCUAAUACAUGCAAGUAGAACGCUGAAGCUUGGUGCUUGCCCCGAGCGGAUGAGUUGCGAACGGGUGAGUAACGCGUAGGUAACCUGCCUGGUAGCGGGGGAUAACUAUUGGAAACGAUAGCUAAUACCGCAUAAUAGUAGAUGUUGCAUGACAUUUGCUUAAAAGGUGCAAUUGCAUCACUACCAGAUGGACCUGCGUUGUAUUAGCUAGUUGGUGAGGUAACGGCUCACCAAGGCAACGAUACAUAGCCGACCUGAGAGGGUGAUCGGCCACACUGGGACUGAGACACGGCCCAGACUCCUACGGGAGGCAGCAGUAGGGAAUCUUCGGCAAUGGACGGAAGUCUGACCGAGCAACGCCGCGUGAGUGAAGAAGGGUUUCGGAUCGUAAAGCUCUGUUGUAAGAGAAGAACGAGUGUGAGAGUGGAAAGUUCACACUGUGACGGUAUCUUACCAGAAAGGGACGGCUAACUACGUG